rnacentral:lncRNA from 1 species
GGUGUGUGUUUCAAUGCCUCUGCUCAAGGACUCUGUGUGUGUGUGUGUGUGUGUGUGUGUGUGUGUGUGUGUGUGUGUGUGUGUGUGUGAGUGUUUGUGUGACUCUGUGUGUGUGUGUGUGUGUGUGUGUGUGUGUGUCGGUGUGUGUCUGUGUGUGUGUCUCCCAUGAUCUCUUCUCUCUCUGUCUCUCAGUCUCUGUG